rnacentral:rRNA from 1 species
GGGGAAUCAGGGUUCGAUUCCGGAGAGGGAGCCUGAGAAACGGCUACCACAUCUAAGGAAGGCAGCAGGCGCGCAAAUUACCCACUCCCGGCACGGGGAGGUAGUGACGAAAAAUACUGUUGCGAGCCCCGAACGGGGCCUCGCAAUUGGAAUGAGUACACUUUAAAUCCUUGUACGAGGAUCGAGUGGAGGGCAAGUCUGGUGCCAGCCGCCGCGGUAAUUCCAGCUCCACUAGCGUAUAUUAAAGUUGUUGCGGUUGAAACGCUCGUAGUUUGACUUCUGCUCCGGACCGGCGGUCCGCCUUAGCGGCGGCUACUGCCGGGUUCCGAGCUGUGUCCCCGCCGGCGCGCAUGGGGUUUUUUAUGCCCUUAACCGGGUGUCCCCCUGUGGCCGGCACGUUUACUUUGAAAAAAUUAGAGUGCUCAGAGCAGGCUGGUUUUUGCUUACAGCCCGAAUGGUCGUGCAUGGAAUGAUGGAACAGGACCUCGGUUCUAUUUUGUCGGUUUUUCGGAACCCGAGGUAAUGAUUAAUAGAAGCAGACGGGGGCAUUCGUACUGCGACGCUAGAGGUGAAAUUCUUAGACCGUCGCAUGACGACCUACUGCGAAAGCAUCUGCCAAGGAUGUUUUCAUUGAUCAAGAACGAAAGUAGA